AUUGAACGCUGGCGGCAGGCUUAACACAUGCAAGUCGAGCGGAGCGGCGGACGGGUGAGUAAUGCCUAGGAAUAUGCCUGGUAGUGGGGGAUAACGUAAGGAAACGGGAGCUAUUACUGAAUACUCUUAGCUGCGCAUAGGUCGGAUUAGCUAGAUGGUGGGGUAAAGGCCUACCAAGGCGACGACCCGUAACUGGUCGGAGAGGAUGAUCAGUCACACUGGAACGUAGACACGGUCCAGACUCCUACGGGAGGCAGCAGUGGGGAAUAUUGGACAAUUGGCGAAAGCCUGAUGCAGCCAUGACGCGUGUGUGAAGAAGGUCUUCGGGUUGUAAAGCACUUUAAGUUGGGAGGCGUUACCAACAGAAUAAGCACCGGCUAACUUCGUGCCAGCAGCCGCGGUAAUAC
rnacentral:rRNA from 1 species